rnacentral:rRNA from 1 species
UACGUAGGGGGCUAGCGUUGUCCGGAAUCAUUGGGCGUAAAGAGCUCGUAGGCGGUUCGAUAAAUCGGACGUGAAAUCUCCACGCUCAACGUGGAGGGGCCGUUCGAUACUGUCGUGACUCGAGUCCGGUAGGGGAGUGUGGAAUUCCCGGUGUAGCGGUGGAAUGCGCAGAUAUCAGGAAGAACACCCGUGGCGAAGGCGGUUCUCUGGGACGGUACUGACGCUGAGACGCGAAAGCGUGGGGAGCGAACAGG